rnacentral:rRNA from 1 species
AUGUUGGCCGCGCUCCGCCAGGUCCAGUCUCCGGCGGCCAGAGCAAGCAAGAAGCGCAAGAAUCGCAAGAAGCGUCAGCAGGCCGGCACGUCGUCGGCGGCGGCAUGGCCCGCCACGGGGCGCCACUCGUGGGGCUCGAUCGCCGUCGUCAACCCCAGGCUGCAGGACGUGCUGAGCCACCCGGGCGCCUCCGCCCCGGAGAGCAUCUACGGGAGGCGGCUGACGAGGACGGACCGGAAGCUCCACCACAGCCGGCUACUCAUGUCGUGCAAGAUCUGGCGGGCGCGGGGCGAGACGUUCCCGCUGGAGCGUGUCCUGACGGACGCGGAGCAGGCGGCCGUGAAGGUGGCGGAGGGCCUGCAGAUGCAGGCCUACGACCGCCGCGGCAGGCACUACGACCUCGUCUGCAAGAAGCUGGACUCCAACAACGCCUACCGCCUCGUCCGCGGCUGGGGCACCUUCCUGAGAGCGAACGGCCUCGUCGUGGGGAAGAAGGACGGGGCCGAGGUCCUGGAGCCGGUCAUCAGGUUCGAUCUGCGGACGUUCCGCUCGCCGGCGCUCAAGAUGGGCGUCGACGGACAGCAGGGCGGCCCGCUCGGGCUCCUCAUCAUGCACUACCCCGAGGGAGGCGACCCGGCCACGCACGCCGAGGCGGGCAUCGCGGAGAUCCUGGCGGCGGCGGGGAACGCAGUGGCCAUGCCAUUGCCGGGCGGGGCCGCCGCGGUGCCCGUCCUGGAGGACGCCGUUGAUGCCCCACACGAGGAGGGCGCCGUUGAUGCCCCAGAGGAGGAGAACGCGGUGGAGGCUGAUGAUGGCGGCCGGUGA